CCCGGGUUCACGCCAUCUUGCCACUAAACCUGAUUUACCAACAUAACCUGUUUCUGGCCAUGCUGUGAAUCUGCAUUCUUUACUGUGUCCUUGGGAUACUAGGUCUCUGAUCAAGUGCCACAUCUUUAGAGAAGCUUUUCCAAACAACCGAUUAUGAAGUACACAUUAACAAUGAAGCCUCUUUUCAAGUAAAGAAGUGAGUAACUCUGGUAACCACCAAUCUACACUCUAUUUUCAUGAGAUCCAGUUUUAUAGCUCCCACAUGAGAAGCCCUGGGAGAAUGCAGUCCACAGGGGUCUUUACAGUGUUCCAUAAUCAACUAUUUCUUGAACAAGAAUCAUGUGUACCACUAUAAAGUACCAACUUCAAUUCCAAGUGGAGCAUUUCACAUUGAGAAAGACCCCAACAGAAGUUAGAGUCUCAGCAUCAAGGAUUUUCCCAUGGUGAUUGGAAUAUACAUGGAAGUGAUAUUCAGUAAUUUAAUGACAGCAGAUCCAAACAUAUAAGCCAACUGGCCAAAAUCUCUGAAACAAUAUUGAAAAAUAUGGUGAGUCUUGUUCUUAAUUUUAAGAAGAAUGCUUUGAAGAUUUCAUGACUGUCAUGCUAGCUCUAAGUUUUUGGAAGAUGUCUUUUAUCCGUUUAAGAAAAUCCCCUUCUACCAAUAAGCUACUAAGAUUUUUCCUUUUAUCACAAAUGAUUUUUCACUUUAUUUAAUAACUUUCCCAAAUUUUUAAAGAUGAUUAUGAGUUUUUACUUCUUUCUCUUUAUAUGUAAGUUACAUUAAUAGAUGUUGAACUGUCCUUUCAUUCCUGGACAAAUGCCCCUUCAUUCCUGAACAAAGGCUAAUUUGUUCACAAACGUGUUAUUUAUUAAUGCAUUAUUAUAUUUAAUUUGCUAAUAUAUUGUUGAGGAUUGUUAUCUCUCUAUGUUUAUAAGUGUGUUUGGCCUGCAAAUUUUCUAUCUUAUACUGUCUUUUUCUGGUUUUGGUGUCGUGGUUAUGCAAUUUUCAUAAAGAGCUUUAAGAAGUAUGCCAUUUUUUCUCUUUUUUGAAAGUUUUGUUAAGUAUGUUCUUUGAAUGCUUGUCAGAAUUUGUCCGUAACAACUUUUGAUCAUUCAUAUUUGCAAUUCUUAUGUAUUUAAGUUUGGUAACUUACUAUUUUUUUUCUUGGAUUUUCUCUAUUUUACCUAAGUUUCAAAUUUAUUAACAAAAGUUUCUUCAGAAUAUUGUCUUCUAUUUUUAUUUAGCUAUGUUUUUAUUUUAUUUCUAAUAUCGGUUAUAUGUAUCUUCUCAUUUUUCUUCUUCUUUAAAGAGCUUGUUUAAUGUCAUUAGUGUUUUCAGAGAAUCAACUUUUGUGUUUAUUGAUUUUUCACUAUUUCAACUUUAUUUUCUAUUUCAUCAAUUUCUCUUCCUAGUUUUUUUCUUAUCAUUUUCUUUCUUCUGCUUUCCCUGGUUUCAUUCAGUUGAUAUUUAUUUGUCUUUGAAUGUUGAUUUUAAUGAGAAUAAAAUUAUUGUCUGUCAAUCAUUUUUCUCAGUACUUUGUAUACAUCAUUCUACAGACAUAUGGCUUCGUAGCUGAUGUUCAGAAAUCAGCUGUUAAUCUAAGCUUUAUUUCAUUUAGAUAAUCUGAUUAGAUUGAUAUUGGAUCUUCUCAUACUAAUCUUCAUGAUUAUUAAAGUUUUAAUAUGUCUUUAAUAAAUUCUGAAUUAUCUCUCUAGCUCUAUUUCUUAACUUAAAAUUUCUUUCUGCAGUGUUGUUAAAUCUUAUCAUUAUGCCAUCUGUUGAGCAUUUAAUUUCGGUGAUCAUAUAUUUUUUAUUUCUACAUGUUCUACUUAGUUUUUUCUCAUGUUUUUUUCUUAUCUGUUUACUCCUUUUUUAUUUUAAGUACUUUAUAUAAACUUAUAUUUGGAAUGUGAACUGAAUUCAAUAUCUGUAAUUAUUAUAAAUUCUCUAGUUUCUUGUUUCUGCUGAUUCUUACUUAUUGUAACUUAUUUCCUCAUGUGCUUAGUAAUUUAUUUUUAUUGUUAUUUCAUAUUCCUUGUAAUUUGAUCUGGGGACUCAUUGAGGCCUUUAUUAAAAUGUGUUCUUCCAGAA
rnacentral:lncRNA from 1 species